CUAUCAGUAGGUAAUUCUGAUCUGUAAGCCCUUUGGGCUUCAGAAAAGAAUGAUGAUGACCGCGGUACAUGACUGUAAGUGAGUUAAAACCGCAGGUGGAGAGACGUAACGACCCUCUCCUCCUACCUCUGAU
rfam:Biomphalaria glabrata isolate BB02 unplaced genomic scaffold LGTN_random_Scaffold1694, whole genome shotgun sequence.